rnacentral:lncRNA from 1 species
UUUUUAUUAUUCCCACUUUGCCCUUCCAAAAAUCUAAUUACAUUCAUAAUUUUUAAUACAAAAUUCCUUUGUAAUGCUACGUCUCAUUAAUGUCAACUUUGACCAUGCCACAUAAACAAGACUUAAACGACUGUUUAGUGUAAUUUGACGGCAGACCUUUAAUUGAAUCAAUUUUACAAAAAUAAUAAAAAAAAAAAACCAACUAAGACGC